UACGGAGGGUGCAAGCGUUAUCCGGAAUCACUGGGCGUAAAGGGCGCGUAGGCGGCCUGGCAAGUCAGAUGUGAAAGCCCCGGGCUUAACCUGGGAAUUGCAUCUGAAACUGUUGUGCUUGAGUUCUGGAGGGGGUAGUGGAAUUCCCAGUGUAGCGGUGAAAUGCGUAGAUAUUGGGAGGAACACCUGCGGCGAAGGCGGCUACCUGGACAGAUACUGACGCUGAGGCGCGAAAGCUAGGGGAGCAAACGGGAUUAGAUACCCGGGUAGUCCCU
rnacentral:rRNA from 1 species